ACAGGUGAGGUUCUUGGGAG
rnacentral:ncRNA from 2 species